AGGAAAGCAAACAAGGCAAUGUUUAAUUGCCUCUCAAAUACAGGGGGGAGAGCAAGCUUGAAAUUGAGUUUUAGGCAGAAAUUUCCACAGCUCUCUCAAGUUUCUUUGCUCGCUGGUAAAAGACACCUUCAGCAGCUCCUCCCCAAAACCCUGUCCCGAGGGACCCCGGGGGAGAACAAAGCCGGGGAUUUAUCAGCGCUGCCGGGCGGCUCCGCACCAAGGGACCCCCAGGGACCCGCAGCUGGGUGCCGGGCGGCCCCAGGGGGGCGAGAGGGAGCCGGGCAGGCUGGAAAGUAAAAGUCACCUGCAGGGACCGCAAGGCAGAAAGCUUAACCUGAACUCCACCAGGUUUUCAUCAGCAUUUCCAAAGGGGAGGCAGCAAACUGUGGAUUGAAAUGUGACAUCGCCGGGCAAACGGACUGAACCGCAAAAUGAGUAACUUCCUCCGGGAGCUCCCCCGGAGGGACGGGGAUUGCUUUAAGGUCUUGUCACAACAGAAAGCUUCAUUUUCUUCUCAGUGGUGCAACUCCCUUCACAUCAACAAAGUUACGCUAAUGGAGGCGUGCACAACGAAACCCAGGGCUGGAAGAACAAACCUCCCUCAUCAUGAGUCCCCUGGUACAGCAUGCGAGAAGGCCCUUUCCUUUCAGCCUUGGAGAGGCUAUCAAAUUGCUUUUAAUGUUGCAUCUCUCAGUGCUGGGCCACAAGACGUUUGUUUGCUUCAGGUGUCAUGGGAGCUGAAAAAUCUUUUUGGGGAAUGAUAUUAUCCCUCUAAAGUCUUAUCUUAAGGGAAACAUAUGUGAUCUUGCAGAGAAGCCUCUCUCGGUUGCGUUUUAACUUACUGGUCUUGUUACAGUGCAACUUCACACCAACAGCACUAUGCUGUGGGUCACAGCCAUGCGAAUGGGGGGGAGAAAGUAACUCGUACACUGCUGACACUGCCGGAGUGGGAACGGGUGGGUUCUGUGCUCUGAGAUAGGGCAGAAGAGGUUCAAGUUACUGACAGAUUUGGAGAAGCUUUUUAAGUGGGAUCUUCAAAGGACAUGUUACUUGUCCUAACUCUGAUGGUGUCAAUGUCACAAAGAGGGCAUUGUUUGAGUACUUUCGGUGUCUCACCUUUAAUGUCUCUAGCUUCUGCUCCUCCUGUAUAAAUGUAUUUGUCUACCUCACCCAUGAUUUACUCUAGAGGGAAAACUUUUACUCUAUGGAAGGCUCCCAUAGUCACUGUGAUUAUAAAGUCUGUGCUGCAUAAUCGCACCGAGAAAAAGAGUCUCUCCUGCAAUCUAAAUGUUCUGAUAGAAAUUGAAUUCAUAAAUUGUUAGCACGGUUCUGUAAUAAACAACUGAAUUCAUUCA
rnacentral:lncRNA from 1 species